UUCGCCCUUUUCCGGUUGAUCCUGCCGGACCUGACUGCUAUCGGAUUGAUACUAAGCCAUGCGAGUCAUUGUAGCAAUACAAGGCAGACGGCUCAGUAACGCGUAGUCAACCUAACCUAUGGACGGGAAUAACCUCGGGAAACUGAGAAUAAUGCCCGAUAGAACACUAUACCUGGAAUGGUUUGUGUUCCAAAUGAUUUAUCGCCGUAGGAUGGGACUGCAGCCUAUCAGUUUGUUGGUGAGGUAAUGGCCCACCAAGACUAUUACAGGUACGGGCUCUGAGAGGAGUAGCCCGGAGAUGGGUACUGAGACACGGACCCAGGCCCUAUGGGGCGCAGCAGGCGAGAAAACUUUGCAAUGUGCGAAAGCACGACAAGGUUAAUCCGAGUGAUUUGUGCUAAACGAAUCUUUUGUUAGUCCUAGAACCACUAACGAAUAAGGGGUGGGCAAGUUCUGGUGUCAGCCGCCGCGGUAAAACCAGCACCUCAAGUGGCCAGGAUGAUUAUUGGGCCUAAAGCAUCCGUAGCCGGCUCUGUAAGUUUUCGGUUAAAUCUGUACGCUUAACGUACAGGCUGCCGGGAAUACUGC
rnacentral:rRNA from 1 species